AGUAGAACCAAUAUGGAUAUAUGGAUAUUGGAUACAUUGGAAUGCAAAAUUCAUACUCCCAAGUUGAAUUAAGAGAAGAUAAAAUUGAAAAAUAUUGGCCUUUAGAUAAUUGCUCUUCUGAAAAGAAAGGAGAAGUCAAAAAGAACUAAGCUUUCAAAUUUUAACUUAAUUCAAAUUCAGUUGAUAUGCUAAAAUUGCUUAAGAGCUAU
rnacentral:lncRNA from 1 species